AGAGUUUGAUCCUGGCUCAGAUUGAACGCUGGCGGCAGGCUUAACACAUGCAAGUCGAGCGGGGAAAAGUAGCUUGCUACUUGACCUAGCGGCGGACGGGUGAGUAAUGCUUAGGAAUCUGCCUAUUAGUGGGGGACAACAUCUCGAAAGGGAUGCUAAUACCGCAUACGUCCUACGGGAGAAAGCAGGGGACCUUCGGGCCUUGCGCUAAUAGAUGAGCCUAAGUCGGAUUAGCUAGUUGGUGGGGUAAAGGCCUACCAAGGCGACGAUCUGUAGCGGGUCUGAGAGGAUGAUCCGCCACACUGGGACUGAGACACGGCCCAGACUCCUACGGGAGGCAGCAGUGGGGAAUAUUGGACAAUGGGGGGAACCCUGAUCCAGCCAUGCCGCGUGUGUGAAGAAGGCCUUUUGGUUGUAAAGCACUUUAAGCGAGGAGGAGGCUACCGAGAUUAAUACUCUUGGAUAGUGGACGUUACUCGCAGAAUAAGCACCGGCUAACUCUGUGCCUGCAGCCGCGGUAAUACAGAGGGUGCAAGCGUUAAUCGGAUUUACUGGGCGUAAAGCGCGCGUAGGUGG
rnacentral:rRNA from 1 species